AAUAAAUAAAGGGCUCAAUUAGGUAGAUUCUAGAUACCUAGGAAAUCAAUUCAUCAUUAUCUCAAUAAAUUUAUUAUUAAUUUGUAAACAGUUGAUAGUUUUAUUAGCUUUCUUAAAAGUUUUGUUAAAAUAGUAUCACCACCUAUAUAUAAUUCAUGCUUUGUAUCAGCACUCUGGGGACAAGUAAAGCAGAAUUUUUAUUUUAAUGCAUGAAUAUACUUGCAUUUUAAGGAACCAAUAUAGUGUUGAAAUGUAACCUUCUCUGAAAUGAUAUUUAAAUAUUUGUAGAUAUUUGGAAACAUAUCUCAUAAUUAAAUUAUUGGUAUUUAAAUUGGGGGAGAUGAUUUUUUUCUGCAAUUUACUGCCUUAGAAUUAUGGAAAGAAACAUUCCUUUUAAGUAACAUGAUAGACCCCUUUUGUAAAUUGUCUAAAGAUUUACACCAAAUACUCUCUACAGCAGAACAGUACACAAGACUCUGGACUACAGGAAAGUGAAGUAUCAGCAGAAAAUAUCUUAACUGUAGCCAAGGAUCCAAGAUAUGCCAGAUAUCUCAAAAUGGUUCAAGUGGGUGUACCAGUGAUGGCAAUAAGAAACAAAAUGAUAUCAGAAGGACUAGACCCAGAUCUUCUUGAGAGGCCAGAUGCUCCAGUGCCUGAUGGCGAAAUUGAAAAAACUGUAGAAGAAAGUUCAGAUAGCGAAUCUUCUUUUAGUGAUUAAGCUUAAUUUUGAUAAGAAUUACAUAUGCAUGCAUAGGGGUACAUUUACAUUCUGUAAGAGAUUGAGCCUGAACUCUCUUAGUCAUAAAAACAUCAAAUGGCCACAUGUCCACUACCAAGCUUCUUCUAUGUUAAAAAAAUAAUAAUAAAGCAGUUUUAACCU
rnacentral:sRNA from 1 species